rnacentral:lncRNA from 1 species
UUCAAUGGAUUGACACUCCUGCUAAUCUAUGAACCUGACUGAUAAAUGCAAAUAUAACAAGAGGCAAAUGUCCAAUGCACACUAGAUUGAGAAAGACAAUUUGAAUGACAACUCCUUGUCAUAAAUGUGGUUACACUAUACAUUUUGAUAUAGUGUCAAUGCCAAAGCACCUAAUCAUGUACCAUAAGUUCCUAAUGGAUGCAAAGUACUUAUCAGAGUCAAGAUAUGAAGCACCCUUCAAUCUUCAAUCUAACACAACAUCGGUGGUUGGUUGUUUACUUGUGGCUCCUAUUAGAUCACGUAACAACACUUCUCUUUCCUAAGAUGUCCC